rnacentral:misc_RNA from 1 species
UGGUUCCGGCAUCGAUGAAGAACGCAGCGAAAUGCGAUAAGUAAUGUGAAUUGCAGAAUUCAGUGGAUCAUCGAAUCUUUGAACGCACACUGCGCCCCUUGGCAUUCCGAGGGGCAUGCCCGUCCGAGCGUCGUUACACCGAUCAAGCCUGGCUUGGAGUUGGGCCGCGGGCAGAGGCCCGGGCCCCAAACGCGCCCGGUCGGACCUCCGGACCCAGCGUUGCGGCACGCGAAUUCGCUGGGGGACCGGGGGGACGGCCCGAGAGCACCACGAGCCCCGUCGCUCGACAGGUCGACCUCGGAUCGGGUAGGGAUACCCGCUGA